rnacentral:rRNA from 1 species
UACAGAGGUGGCAAGCGUUGUUCGGAAUUACUGGGCGUAAAGGGCUCGUAGGCGGCCAACUAAGUCGGAUGUGAAAUCCCCAGGCUCAACCUGGGAACUGCAUCCGAUACUGGAUGGCUUGAAUUCGGGAGAGGGGUGCAGAAUUCCAGGUGUAGCGGUGAAAUGCGUAGAUAUCUGGAGGAAUACCGGUGGCGAAGGCGGCAUCCUGGACCGACAUUGACGCUGAGGCACGAAAGCGUGGGUAGCAAACAGG